rnacentral:misc_RNA from 1 species
AAGUCGUAACAAGGUCUCCGUUGGUGAACCAGCGGAGGGAUCAUUACCGAGUUUACAAACUCCCAAACCCCCCAUAUGAACCCUAACCUUCAACGUUGCCUCGGCGGGGACUCGCCCCGGACACCAAGCCGCCCGCCGCAGGACCCCCGAAGAGACUCUUCUACUGCAUUAGACAGGUGGCAUUUCCUCUGAGUGGACUCUUCUCCCCGCGACAGCGGUGGGCGAAUUAAUCAAAACUUUCAACAACGGAUCUCUUGGCUCUG